GCGCCUUAUGCAUGCAAGUCGAGCGAAGCUUUUCAGUAGUUUACUACAGAAAAUGACUGAGCGGCGAACGGGUGAGUAACGCGUGAGCAACCUACCUUAGUUACUGGGAUAGCCCGAGGAAACUCGGAUUAAUACCGGAUAUUCUUAUUUAAUCACAUGAUUUUUUAAGGAAAGGUCAGCCGAACUAAGAUGGGCUCGCGUUCUAUCAGCUAGUUGGUAGGGUAAUGGCCUACCAAGGCUACGACGGAUAGCUGGUCUGAGAGGACGAUCAGCCACACUGGGACUGAGACACGGCCCAGACUCCUACGGGAGGCUGCAGCAGGGAAUAUUGCGCAAUGAGCGAAAGCUUGACGCAGCGACACCGCGUGUGGGAUGACGGAUCUAGGUUUGUAAACCACUUUCAGGAGGGAAGAAAAUGACGGUACCUCCACAAGAAGCCCCGGCCAA
rnacentral:rRNA from 1 species